AAACAGAGUUCUACUUCACCCUCAAUUUGGAGUGCUGUCUUUUAUUAGGGGAAUCUGCUACAAGGGAUUGCUAUGCUAGUCAUACUCUCUUGCUAUAUCACUACUAAGCUCUUGUAAGAGCUUGUUCCUGUUCUGCUACCUGAAGGAGUCUACGGUGGUUAUGGUGUCUGCUGGAGUGCUUGGAGUCCUCAGGAAGCGCUAGGAGCAU